CUGGCGGCCCGCCAUGGUCUAAUUUAUUCCGCCACAGUCUCAGAGUGAACCGAAAAAAAUCUUACACUUCUCAUAAUAACAUAAAAGAUCUGUAACGUGUGUUUCGCACUGCGGCUUUGGCAAAGGAUCUCUCACUCUCUGUCGGCUCUGCCCCGCUCUGCCCCCACCCCGCUGUACAUGGUGCGCGCACACUCACUUACACACGCACGCAUCACGCAGGCACGUACGCACUGGAAUAUAUCGCGUUACCUUACGGCAUUGUGAAGCAGAAGUGAAGACGACGUGAAGAAGGCAUUUUAGGACACCACAUCGUUUGAGGACAAGAACCAGGCUGAAAUAAUGACCCUGCUAGCCAGUGAGUGCGAUGAAUGGGGACAGAUAUACCCAUUACUCAGCCGAUUGGCAGCAAUUGCACUUGUCAUUCCGGUGUCAAGUGUCAACUGUGAGAGAGACUUCUCCACAAUGAACAGGGUCAAAUCAGAGCUUUGCAACAGGCUGCAAGGAGAGCACCUGGCUGCCUGCCUGAGGGUCUCCAUCAAUGGGCCGUGUCCAGAGAAAUUUGACUACUAAAGGGCAUUAGAAGUGUUUUUUUCAAAACCCAGGAAAAUUCAAUGUCCAAAUUCAGGGUGCAAAGUUUGCAAAUAGGAGUGUUGUAUAAAUGUGUAUUUUGGAUGUUUUCUUUCAACUAGUCUGAAAGAAGACAAGUUAUGGAAGCAAAAGAGGCCAAAAUGUUUUUGCCUGCCAAAAUGUUGAUGUACCCUCCGAAUCCAUUUUAUUUUUUAUUACAAUUUAGCUUACAGUUUAAUUAUUUAUUAUUUUAUCUGGUAAAGGUAAACACUUUUGCUUUAUUUCUUUGAUGGCUCAGAUGUAUGCGAUAUUUGAUUUUGUGUUUUCACUAUUAGUAUCUAUACAACCAAUGUGUUUGUGAUUAAAUUGUGUUCAAGAGCACACAGUUCCUCAUAGAUCUAGCCUCUUAAUUUUGCUUUCAAAGUGCACCAGAUUGAUGCAUUCAACUUUAAAAUGGUAAAAAAAAAUCUUCCGGGGG